rnacentral:rRNA from 1 species
UACGUAGGGCGCGAGCGUUAUCCGGAAUUAUUGGGCGUAAAGAGCUCGUAGGCGGUUUGUCGCGUCUGCUGUGAAAACUGGAGGCUCAACCUUCAGACGUCGAUCGAAACCAUCUGGCUAGAGUCCGGGAGAGGAGAGUGGAAUUCCUGGUGUAGCGGUGAAAUGCGCAGAUAUCAGGAAGAACACCCGUGGCGAAAGCGGCUCUCUGGAACGGUACUGACGCUGAGACGCGAAAGCGUGGGGAGCGAACAGG